rnacentral:rRNA from 1 species
UACGUAGGGGGCAAGCGUUGUCCGGAUUUAUUGGGCGUAAAGAGCGUGUAGGCGGCCUGAAAGGUCAGCUGUGAAAACUCGAGGCUCAACCUCGAGACGUCGGUUGAAACCAUCUGGCUAGAGUCCGGAAGAGGAGAGUGGAAUUCCCGGUGUAGCGGUGAAAUGCGCAGAUAUCGGGAAGAACACCCGUGGCGAAGGCGGCUCUCUGGGACGGUACUGACGCUGCGACGCGAAAGCGUGGGGAGCGAACAGG